rnacentral:rRNA from 1 species
ACGAUUGACCUCGGAUCAGGUAGGGAUACCCGCUGAACUUAAGCAUAUCAAUAGCGGAGGA